GGAGGCGAGUUUCAGCUGGUGCUGAGCCCGGACUUCAAAUCCGGUGGGGGUCGGUAACGCCGGUCCCGGUGUGUUCGAUUCGCACACGCCUCCGCCA
rnacentral:tRNA from 1 species